GGGAAACAAGGUCACAUGUUUUAUUUCUGUUGCUGACUGAUCAGGUGCUUAGCAUGAGAACAGCAGCACCUCAGCUAACAAUCACAGCAAGUCUGCAGGUUUUCCACUCAGAGGCAACACAACCAGUGCAGCAGAUUAAGAUUUCAUCCAACUAAAUUUGAAAAUGCACACAAAGAUCAUUAUCGUAGAUCUCUGGUCUAUACAAAACAUGUUCAUUUUAUUUUUUGCUCAAAAUCAUUUUUAGAUUUUAGGGUGCCUUGUUGCUUUAAGUCCAAAUAAUCUGCUGCUGGCCACGUCCUCUACCUCGACGUUUACACUCGCACUUGAACCUCGCUGGACACAGUUGUUUAAUUAUACAUCCGUGUAUGUUUGAAAAGCGUUAGUGAAGCCUUCUGCACAACCAACAAGAAUGCAGCAAGUAUUUCAGGAUGGUUGUCAACAACAAAACACUUGUCAUUUCCAGCAGCCACUAAAGCCAGCUGACUAAAGGUACUGGAGCUCUGCCUGGGUUGCUAGGUAACGGCGGAACUCGGCUGGGGUUGCUAGGUAACGGGUAGAGUAAUGUGAAAACGUGAAUUUUCCAUAAUACAUCCACUUUAAUUGUUCAACUUUUCAUUUUGUGAAUAAAAUGUCCACAAAUGUUUCAGUAGCUGCGUUUC